GAUGAACGCUGGCGGCGUGCCUAAUACAUGCAAGUCGAGCGAACAGACGAGGAGCUUGCUCCUCUGACGUUAGCGGCGGGCGGGUGAGUAACACGUGGAUAACCUACCUAUAAGACUGGGAUAACUUCGGGAAACCGGAGCUAAUACCGGAUAAUAUAUUGAACCGCAUGGUUCAAUAGUGAAAGACGGUUUUGCUGUCACUUAUAGAUGGAUCCGCGCCGCAUUAGCUAGUUGGUAAGGUAACGGCUUACCAAGGCAACGAUGCGUAGCCGACCUGAGAGGGUGAUCGGCCACACUGGAACCGAGACACGGUCCAGACUCCUACGGGAGGCAGCAGUAGGGAAUCUUCCGCAAUGGGCGAAAGCCUGACGGAGCAACGCCGCGUGAGUGAUGAAGGUCUUCGGAUCGUAAAACUCUGUUAUUAGGGAAGAACAAAUGUGUAAGUAACUAUGCACGUCUUGACGGUACCUAAUCAGAAAGCCACGGCUAACUACGUG
rnacentral:rRNA from 1 species